rnacentral:rRNA from 1 species
AAAUUGAAGAGUUUGAUCAUGGCUCAGAUUGAACGCUGGCGGCAGGCCUAACACAUGCAAGUCGAACGGUAACAGGAAGCAGCUUGCUGCUUUGCUGACGAGUGGCGGACGGGUGAGUAAUGUCUGGGAAACUGCCUGAUGGAGGGGGAUAACUACUGGAAACGGUAGCUAAUACCGCAUAACGUCGCAAGACCAAAGAGGGGGACCUUCGGGCCUCUUGCCAUCGGAUGUGCCCAGAUGGGAUUAGCUAGUAGGUGGGGUAAAGGCUCACCUAGGCGACGAUCCCUAGCUGGUCUGAGAGGAUGACCAGCCACACUGGAACUGAGACACGGUCCAGACUCCUACGGGAGGCAGCAGUGGGGAAUAUUGCACAAUGGGCGCAAGCCUGAUGCAGCCAUGCCGCGUGU